rnacentral:lncRNA from 1 species
AAAUAAGAGAUUCCAACUAAUCCAAAUGUAGGUGGGCAGAGCAAAGCAGGUGCAUACUGGCAGCCGUAGGUGGGCAGAAGCUAUAUCAAAUCGACAACUGACCAAACCGAGCCAGCCAGCGAGCAUUCAACCAAUCCGCGCGGCGCCGCUCAUGUCUUCCGCGGAGCUUCCUAUCAUCCUUCAACGCUGUCUGGCUCUUCACUGGCCCCGUCAGGCGCCUAUUCUUCUACUACGACGUCGACCCGGCCGCCACGCUCUUGCUCCUCGCUGCCUCCCUGUCACACGCGCUCUGCCGCUUCUUCCUGCGUGCCGGCACCUUCAUAGUAUUAAGAAAUAUUUGCAUCUAGUGAUCUAGGAGUAGUUCUGAGAAAAAGGGUGAAAGCUUGCAUACAGGAAAAAAUGAAGCGGCAAAGGGUGUUUUUUAGAUGUAUACCUUUUAGAUCGUCUACCUCCAUAGUCUGCGCAGGGCCGCCGUUCUCCCCCAUUGAGAAGGAACUCGCUCGCCCUUCAAAAGGCUGAUUUUGCUGCCACGAGGCUGUAUCUGUUUGUCACUCAGUAGUACUAUUUUCUGGCUCUUUCUCUGGACGGGCGAGAUACAAGAUGAUGAAAGCCACACCCCGCUCGCUUGACCCCGCUGUGCUUACCCAUAAAAUGGUCGGUGCAGUGCUGACGCCUG